rnacentral:rRNA from 1 species
AACAGUACGUGAAACCGUUGUGAGGUAAACGGAGGGGCCCGGUGGGUCGGUUCGGCGCUUUCAGUUGGUUGCACCGUCGCGCGUCGCCGUACGAGAUGUCUUUGGCACUCGGAAAGCGUUGCGUGGCGAGCAGCCAGCGCACUAGUGUCGGGUCGAACGCUGCGACCGUUUGUGGGGCGACCAGAAGCCUCGCGCGAAGAUAGCAUCGGUGCCUUCGGGUGCUGGUGUUUUAUAGAGCGCGAGUGCUGACGGCUUGUUCCGUGAGCGGGGUAUCCUGGCCGCGCCAGCCUUUCGGGGCGAGCGUUGGUUGUGCCGUUGGUUUUUCGCGGGUCGUCUUCUGUUCUCAGAGGGCGGAACGCGGCGGGCCUUCGUGCGCUGCCAUGCUCUCGGCGUCAAGG